rnacentral:rRNA from 1 species
CCUACGGGUGGCAGCAGUGAGGAAUAUUGGUCAAUGGGCGCGAGCCUGAACCAGCCAAGUAGCGUGAAGGAUGACUGCCCUACGGGUUGUAAACUUCUUUUAUAAAGGAAUAAAGUGAUGCACGUGUGCCUUUUUGUAUGUACUUUAUGAAUAAGGAUCGGCUAACUCCGUGCCAGCAGCCGCGGUAAUACGGAGGAUCCGAGCGUUAUCCGGAUUUAUUGGGUUUAAAGGGUGCGUAGAUUGGUUGUUAAGUCAGUUGUGAAAGUUUGCGGCUCAACCAUAAAAUUGCCAUUGAUACUGGAAGCCUUGAGUACAGUUGAGGUAGGCGGAAUUCGUGGUGUAGCGGUGAAAUGCAUAGAUAGCACGCAGAACUCCGAUUGCGAAGGCAGCCUACUAAACCACCACUGACACUGAAGCACGAAAGCGUGGGUAUCAAACAGGAUUAGAUACCCCAGUAGUC